rnacentral:rRNA from 1 species
GAUGAAUGCUGGCGGCGUGCCUAACACAUGCAAGUCGAGCGGCAGCGCGUUUUACACUGAAUUCUGGAAGCUUCUGAGUAGUACAGAAGAUUUAUUCAAGAGUUUUGUGUAAAAUGUCGGCGAGCGGCGGACGGCUGAGUAACGCGUAGGAAUUUGCCCCAAAGUGAGGAAUACCUGCCCGAAAGGGUAGCUAAUGCCGCAUAUGUUCUUCUGAUUAAAGACUUCGGGCGCUUUGGGAGAAGCCUGCGUUGGAUUAGUUAGUUGGUAGGGUAAUGGCCUACCAAGGCGACGAUCCAUAGCUGGUCUGAGAGGAUGAUCAGCCAGACUGGAACUGAGACACAGUCCAGACUCCUACGGGAGGCAGCAGUGAGGAAUCUACCACAAUGGGCGAAAGCCUGAUGGAGCAACGCCGCGUGAAGGAUGAAGGCCGUCGGGUUGUAAACUUCUUUUAUAAGUGAAGAAUAUGACGGUAACUCAUGAAUAAGCACCGGCUAACUACGUG